rnacentral:rRNA from 1 species
CCUACGGGGGGCAGCAGUGAGGAAUAUUGGUCAAUGGCCGUAAGGCUGAACCAGCCAAGUAGCGUGAGGGAAGACUGCCCUAUGGGUUGUAAACCUCUUUUAUGCGGGGAUAAAGGUGUCCACGUGUGGAUGUUUGCAGGUACCGCAUGAAUAGGACCCGCCAAUUCCGUGCCCGCAGCCGCGGGAAUACGGAAGGUUCGGGCGUUUUCCGGAUUUAUUGGGUUUAAAGGGAGCGUAGGCCGGUCUUUAAGCGCGACGUGAAAUUUUGGGGCUGAACCAUGAGAGUGCGGAGAGAACUGGAGACCUUGAGUGCGCGGAAGGCAGGCGGAAUUCGUGGUGUAGCGGUGAAAUGCUUAGAUAUCACGAAGAACCCCGAUUGCGAAGGCAGCCUGCCGCAGCGUUACUGACGCUGAAGCUCGAAAGCGCGGGUAUCGAACAGGAUUAGAUACCCCUGUAGUC